GCUAAACGCGAAGAACCUUACCAAGGCUUGACAUAUACCGUUUAUCCCUAGAGAUAGGGAUCCUUCGGGGCGGUAUACAGGUGGUGCAUGGUCGUCGUCAGCUCGUGUCGUGAGAUGUUGGGUUAAGUCCCGCAACGAGCGCAACCCUCGCCCUUAGUUGCCAUCAUUUAGUUGGGCACUCUAGGGGGACUGCCGGUGAUAAGCCGCGAGGAAGGUGGGGAUGACGUCAAGUCCUCAUGGCCCUUACGGGUUGGGCUACACACGUGCUACAAUGGCGGUGACAAUGGGAUGCAAAGGCGCGAGCCUUAGCUAAUCUACAAAAGCCGUCUCAGUUCGGACUGGGGUCUGCAACUCGACCCCACGAAGUCGGAAUCGCUAGUAAUCGCGUAACAGCAUGACGCGGUGAAUACGUUCCCGGGUCUUGUACACACCG
rnacentral:rRNA from 1 species